rnacentral:rRNA from 1 species
ACGAACGCUGGCGGCGUGCUUAACACCUGCAAGUCGAACGGAAAGGCCCUGCUUGCAGGGUACUCGAGUGGCGAACGGGUGAGUAACACGUGGGUGAUCUGCCCUGCACUUCGGGAUAAGCCUGGGAAACUGGGUCUAAUACCGGAUAGGAGCCAUUUUUAGUGUGAUGGUUGGAAAGUUUUUUCGGUGUAGGAUGAGCUCGCGGCCUAUCAGCUUGUUGGUGGGGUAAUGGCCUACCAAGGCGGCGACGGGUAGCCGGCCUGAGAGGGUGGACGGCCACAUUGGGACUGAGAUACGGCCCAGACGCCUACGGGAGGCAGCAGUGGGGAAUAUUGCACAAUGGGCGCAAGCCUGAUGCAGCGACGCCGCGUGGGGGAUGACGGCCUUCGGGUUGUAAACUCCUUUCGCUAGGGACGAAGCUUUUUGUGACGGUACCUAGAUAAGAAGCACCGGCUAACUACGUG